AUCACAUUUAUUUGAAAUAUAAUAAGAAUAUAAUGCAAAAUCAAAGAAUAUUAACCCGUUAGAUAAAAAAUAAAUAUAUUAAUAUUUUUUUUAGCUUAGGAUUUUCAGAUUUAAUCCUUCCAUGUUCAUUGCCAGGAACUCACUCACGUGCCCAGGUGCUACUUGGGUGAGAGAGAGGCGAUGGGCAUGAUGACCUUAAUUCAUAAGUUAAUAAAAAUUUUUCAGCGACUGACAAUGCGUUAGUGUAUCGUGCACGACGUACUUUCCACAUUGUGUGUGUGAUUAGGCUGUGGAAUUGCAUCGUUUCAAUUAUUAUCCUUUAUUAUUAAUAAUUUAAUUACAAUUUACAAUCAAAAUAUUAUACACUUUCAAUUAAAUGUUGCGGAUAUAACAAUAAAUAAUAGUAUUUCUAAUCUUUAAUCUUCUAAUCUUUCAAAUUAUAAUAUAAUGAUAUAAAUUUAUCAUUUAGUCUAGAAUACAUGUAUUUUUAUCGCGUUUACGCAAUGAUCACUAGCCAUUGUCAGUCGAUUUCAGGAAAACGGUACGUAAAUUUAGAGUGUGAAAGAUGUAUGCCAAGCUCGGGUGUCGGAGGUGUCCCGGGACGCUUUCCCUAGUGUAGGCAUUUGCGCCCGAGUAUUAUGAGUGAGAAACGUGGAACGAGUGUGUUGGUAUGCCUGUUUUGCCAUUUUUUAAAUAUAGAUGUUGCAAUUUUGUAAAUA